rnacentral:rRNA from 1 species
AUGAACGCUAGCGACAGGCCUAACACAUGCAAGUCGAGGGGCAGCACAAGGAGCAAUCUGAGGUGGCGACCGGCGCACGGGUGAGUAACACGUAUGCAGCCUGCCUGUAAGCGGGGAAUAACCCGUUGAAAGACGGACUAAUACCGCAUAAUACUAAAUUACUGCAUGGUAAUUUAUUUAAACAUUUAUGGCUUACAGAUGGGCAUGCGCAUGAUUAGCUAGUUGGAGAGGUAACGGCUCCCCAAGGCAACGAUCAUUAGGGGUUCUGAGAGGAAGGUCCCCCACACUGGUACUGAGACACGGACCAGACUCCUACGGGAGGCAGCAGUGAGGAAUAUUGGUCAAUGGACGAGAGUCUGAACCAGCCAAGUCGCGUGCAGGAAGAAUGUUCCCUAUGGAUUGUAAACUGUCUUUUGCAGGGGAAUAAAGUACAUCACGUGUGAUGUUUUGUAUGUACUCUGCGAAUAAGGAUCGGCUAACUCCGUGCCAGCAGCUGC